rnacentral:rRNA from 1 species
CACGGGUGAGUAACACGUAUCCAACCUGCCGUCUACUCUUGGACAGCCUUCUGAAAGGAAGAUUAAUACAAGAUGGCAUCAUGAGUUCACAUGUUCACAUGAUUAAAGGUAUUCCGGUAGACGAUGGGGAUGCGUUCCAUCAGAUAGUAGGCGGGGUAACGGCCCACCUAGUCUUCGAUGGAUAGGGGUUCUGAGAGGAAGGUCCCCCACAUUGGAACUGAGACACGGUCCAA